rnacentral:rRNA from 1 species
ACGAACGCUGGCGGCGUGCUUAACACAUGCAAGUCGAACGAGGUCCAUUCAGUAGCAAUACUGAUGAAGGCCGAGUGGCGAACGGGUGAGUAACACGUGGGUGAUCUGCCCUGCACUCUGGGAUAAGCCUGGGAAACUGGGUCUAAUACUGGAUAUGACCUGCUCUCGCAUGGGGGUGGGUGGAAAGAUUUAUCGGUGCAGGAUGGGCCCGCGGCCUAUCAGCUUGUUGGUGGGGUAAUGGCCUACCAAGGCGACGACGGGUAGCCGACCUGAGAGGGUGACCGGCCACACUGGGACUGAGACACGGCCCAGACUCCUACGGGAGGCAGCAGUGGGGAAUAUUGCACAAUGGGCGAAAGCCUGAUGCAGCGACGCCGCGUGAGGGAUGAAGGCCUUCGGGUUGUAAACCUCUUUCAGCAGGGACGAAGCGUGAGUGACGGUACCUGCAGAAGAAGCACCGGCUAACUACGU